GUGGAUUAGAUACCCUGGUAGUCCACGCCCUAAACGAUGAACACUAGGUGUGGGGUGCAAAGCAUUCCGUGCCGCAGCUAACGCAAUAAGUGUUCCACCUGGGGAGUACGGCCGCAAGGUUGAAACUCAAAGGAAUUGACGGGAGCCCGCACAAGCAGUGGAGUAUGUGGUUUAAUUCGACGCAACGCGAAAAACCUUACCAAGGAUUGACAUCCUACUAAGACCGAGUAAUGUUGGUUGUGCCCUUCGGGGAAAGUAGAGACAGGUGGUGCACGGUUGUCGUCAACU
rnacentral:rRNA from 1 species